AGAAAUUUUCAAAAUCCUUUAAUUUAAAUUAAUUUUUUUAUUGUGUGUAUGUGGGGGUUUUGCCUGCACAGAUGUCUGUGCACCGUGUGCUUGCAGUGUCUGUGGAGGACUGAAGAGGACAUCAGAUCCCCUGGGGCUAGAGAGACAGCUGUGAGCCACCAUGUGGGUGCUUCGAAUUGAUCCCAGGUCCUCUGCGAGAUCAGCCAGUACUCCUUACCACUGAGCCAUCUCUCUAGCUUGAGAUUUUUAUUUUAUACAUAAAUUUAAACUUCUAGAGAACACUUCCAUGUUGUUUCGUUAACAUUAAGACAGAUACUAUGUAGCUCAGGCUAGCCUCAAGCUUAUGUUUUGUUUGUUUGGUUGGUUUGUUUUUGUGUCUGCCUUUGCCUCCCUCAGUGCUGGGAUUACACUCGUGCACCAUCAUGCCUGGCUUUCAAAACACAGUAGGUGGAGUAGGGUAGAUACAGAAAAGAACUCUGAAAUCAGGGAGAGGGAGAGGGAGAAGGAGGGAGAGAGAUUGACUUUACUAAUUGUGUCUGGGCCUCUCUUGACCACGGCACUCUUUUUCUUUGUGAUCCUACUCCGUCCCCCUGGCUGGCCUUGAACUCCAGGACUCAAGCGACCUUCCUCUGUCAGCCUGCAGGUGCACUCCACUGUCUCAGCCUUCUUGGCACCCUUUGAGGGGAAGCCAGCUUCCCAAACCAGGCUCUCCUGGUGGAGUGGCUUGGUUCAGUGGGGCCCCACAUGAGUUCUUCCUCCACAAUUAGGAUGUUCUUCAUUGGUACAUCCUGGAGCAGCAAGAACCCUCUACCUUUCCAGCCAGUGUCCAUGUCCGCUCAGCAGCCCCAGGACACACUGCCGGUGCCAAACCACAUUCAGUUGGACUAGAGAUGUUCUGUCUUCCUAAGAAUGGGCCUUUUUUGGCUAGGAACAUGGCCUCUUGUGGGGGUUAGGAUGUCCCUUCUGCUACCUUGAAGUUGAUGAGCCUAAGAAAGCGAAAGGUGGCUUUUUUAAUACCUAAUGAGGAGUGACUUAGGGAGGAAGGAUUCAUUCUGGGUUUAAGGGGGUACAGCCUAUCAUGGCCUAGAUGGCAUGGUGGUAGCAGCCGGUGUGGGCUGGUCACAUGGCAUCACCAGCCAAUGAGCAGAGAGUGAGCAGGAAGUGGGACUGGGUUAUGGAAUCUCAAGGCCCACUUCCUCCAACAAGGUUCUGCCUCUUAAAGUUCCCACAGCAUUCUCAAACACUGCAAGCAGCUGGGGACCUGUAUGAGCUUUGGGGGGUGCAGAGUGGGGCAUUCCACAUUCAAACCUCAGCUGUGGCCUUACGAAGGUGCAGAGAAAAAAGGGAAGUUCUAUGGUUUGUCAUGUCCCAGAUCUCUGGAUGGGAGUGUGGAAGAGAGUUUUAGGUAAGGGUUUGAAUCUGCCAAAGGGCUUUUAGGCAAAAGCUGAGCAAAGUGAGUCUUCAUUGAGGCCUUCUCUCCAUUCAUGGCUUCCCUGAGGUGGCCAGCCUUCUCUCCAUUCAUGGCUUCACUGAGUCCAGUCUUCUCUCCAUUCAUGGCUUCACUGAGUCCAGUCUUCUCUCCAUUCAUGGCUUCACUGAGUCCAGUCUUCUCUCCAUUCAUGGCUUCUCUGAGUCCAGUCUUCUCUCCAUUCAUGGCUUCACUGAGGCCAGUCUUCUCUCCAUUCAUGGCUUCACUGAGUCCAGCCUUCUCUCCAUUCAUGGCUUCUCUAAGGUGGCCAGUCUUCUCUCCAUUCAUGGCUUCACUGAGUCCAGUCUUCUCUCCAUUCAUGGCUUCACUGAGUCCAGUCUUCUCUCCAUUCAUGGCUUCACUGAGUCCAGUCUUCUCUCCAUUCAUGGCUUCACUGAGUCCAGUCUUCUCUCCAUUCAUGGCUUCACUGAGUCCAGUCUUCUCUCCAUUCAUGACUUCUCUGAGGUGGCCGGCCAUUCGCGGCUUCCCUGAGGCCAGGGUUUCUAGUCACUCUCUUGGAGUAGGCUCCAUUGGCAAUGUGGAGGCAGCUCAGCUAACGGAAUGAUCUCAAGCUUGAACACUGGAGGUCCAAUUCCAGCUCAUCACAGACAGGAGUGACAGCAUCCUCCCCUCUAGCUUAGAGACGUGGACUGCAGCAGGACCAGGCAAGUGAGGCCAGUCUCUUGCUGUAGUGGUUUGAAUGAGAAGCCCCGCCCCUCAGCCCCAUAGGCUCAUAUACUUGUUCCCCAGUUGAUAGGACUGUUUGGAAGGAUGAGGUGGGGGUGUUCUCAUUGGAAGAGGUGUGUCACUGGAGAUGAGCUUGGAGGUUUCCAAAGCCCAAUCCCAAUCCUAAUGCGCUCUCUACCUCCUGCUUGUGGUUUGAGAGCCUCUCGGCUCUUCCCGCCUUCAUGCCUUCGCUCUGCCAUCACGGAGUCUAACCCUCUGGAACUGUAAGCCCAAUUCAACUCUUCCUUCUAUAAAUUGCCGUGAUUUUGGUGUUUUAUCACAACAAUAGAAAAGUAACUGAGACACCAGUGGAGCUGCCCUCCUAGGAGAGAGGGAGCUUCCGGCAUUUUCCUGGUGCUGGAGUGUUCCAGCUUCGCCAAGAUACUCAACUUUCGAUUUGUGUUAAGAGACACGGGGUAUCUAAGAUGCUCUCCUUGUGUGCUUCGGCUGACGCAGACACUCAAAGCAGGGGAGACCAUGGAUGACCAAGCUGACUGGCUUGCUUGUUUCCACUGCUUGCUCGGCUACCUUUCUUAUCCAGCCCAGAACCACCUGCCCAGAGAUGGCAUGGCCCACAGAGGGCCGGACUCUCCUACAUCAAUGAAUAGUUAAGAAAAAUGCCCCAAAGACACACUCGCAGGCCGACCUGAUGAAGGUGACCCCUCGCUUGAGGAAUCUCCCAAUGUGUGUCUAGGUUUUGUCCCUGUUGGGGACCCAUUUAAAAUUGUUUUCUGGUGAUCUUUUCUGGAGAAACAUUACUGUUAGCCUUCGAUAUGCUUUAUGCUGGCUGAUCCAUUCAUACUCUUCGGCAGCUCUAUGUAUUUUUGCUUUUAAAUAAAUGGCUUUCAUAUUAUCUCUGUUCACAAAACUUUCAGAUUUUAAUUGAGAUGGCCUGUUUGUAGCAGGGACAGUAGGCUGUGUUGAGCCCAGAAUCCUGGGUGGAAAAUAAACUCAUGAGCAUGUAUCUCUCCCCACUGCAUAAUUACUGAACAUUCCUAGAUUUCUCUUUGUGUGUAUGUGUGUGCAUGUUCAUGUGUGUGUGUGUGUAUACAUGUUUGGGGGGGUGUACACACCAUGGCACACUUAUGGAAGUCAGUGGACAACCUUGGGGGUCAGUUCUCACCUUCUACCUUGUCUGAAGCAGGGUCUCUCAUUCAUUGCUGUGUACAUCAGGCUAGCCUUCCAGAAGCUUCUGGGGGACUCUCCUGUCCCCACCUCCCAUCCUACUGGAGGGGUGACAUAGACAUGUGCUGCCAUGGGUUCUAGGCGUGUGGAAACAGGUCAUCUUGCUUGUACAACUAGUACCCCACCCACUGGCCAUCACCUCCCCUCAAACAGUCCUAGAUUGCAAAUGUGUUAGUCAAACUAUGAUUCUAUCCUUUCACUGAAAGCCGCUGGGGAAAUGCCUUCAAUGGAGGUCUCAUCUAACUGGUAUAUGAAGUCUGUGUGUGUGUACAUGUGUAUCUCACACAUGCCUCCCACACUUCGCAUGUGUGCCUCAUGUGUCUGACAAGUACACACAUGCACACACACUUGAGUGAAUCUGCUUAUUACUUGUAUCUAUGUGUAUCCCACGUAGCAGCCAUGUGUGGGAGCGUUACUUGUACAUGUGUACACAUGUCAAAAAUGGGAGUAAGAGCAGAGACGGAGGGGAACUGGAGACCCUGUGGACACUGUCCCCUGUGACAGCUAAGCGUUGGUCAUGGUGUAUGAAGACUAUUUGAAUGGACUAUUGAUGUUAAAAUGUAUACCUUUGAGAGAAAUAUUAGCUUCCUUAGCAAUGAACCUAAUUCCCUUCCCUGGGAACAGGACAGCCACCCCCACCCCUAUAAGGCACAGGAAUUACUGGCUAGGAAUGGCUGGUCCCCUGCUGUCCCUGGCGUAAUGGCUAGUCACCUCAGCCAGCUAAUUGUGAAAUUUGUUCCAGUGACAGUGACUAGCAGUUUCCCUCUGGGGCCCCUGCCCUGACCCUUUACAGCAUCUACUUUGUGAGGAGCUGUGUGCAGGGCUAGCAAGAUCAUAUUUAGUAGACCUGCCCCUGGGCUGGGCUCUCGGGAGACCUCCAUGUUACUUUCUUCACAGGCUUCUACUGUCAAGCGACCUUCUCCAUUGCUUGGACAACCAGGACCCCUGCCCCUGAAUAAUAGGGGUGGUCCCGGCCAUGGCACAGCAGUUCUGAUUUUGUUGUGAGUAAGCCUUGUGCACACACACACACACACCCUGCGCCCCCAUCUUUUUUAUGUGUUUGGGUGUUUUGCAUGCAUGUUUGUCCGUGUACCACAUGUGUGCCUGGUGCUCACAGAGGCCAGAAGAGGGCAUCAGAUCCCCUGGAACUGGAGUGACAGAUUGUCUGAGCCACCAUGCUUGGAACCCAGGUCCUCUGGAAGAGCAGCAAGUGCUCUUGGCCUCUGAGCCAUCUCUCCAGCCCCCUUGUAUCCCAUCUCUUAACAGGCCUUGUAAGAAGGCCAGACGGCUGUAUCUCUAAACCAGGACAUUCCUUUUCCGCUUCUGGCUCUGGUGGCGCAGACUAGAAGUGAGUUGCUCCCUGCUGGAUACCGGCAUCCCAGCAAAGAAGUCUGCUCUUUCCACUCCCCGCCCAUGCCAGGGAAGAGACUGAUGUAAAAUGAAGCCUGCCUCAUCCACAUAUCAGCUCUGUGUCUGUGCACUGAGAGUCGAGCCUUUGGCUCCCUCCUGCUUCCUGCCCUUGUCCAAAAGGAGGCAGGCACUCAGUGGACCAGGUGAUCCAAGCUUAGCCUUUCAUUUUAAUGACAUUACACUCACUUCUAUCUUAGGAGAAUCAAUAACGCUUUACAGUGGGUUCGGCUAGGGCUUGGUUAAUAUUUAGCCCUGUUUUCAGGCAUAGUCCAGAUACGAACAGCCAGAGACAUCUCUAGGAAAGCGAGCAGCUCACCCACUAGCAUUCAGCCCCUCUGAGUGCAGGAAGGGGUGGGCAGGCAUUGGAAUGGCGAUGGGGGAGUCUUUGUCUUUGAGACAGUACAGUAUUCUCUGCCCAGGGAUUGCUGAAUAGAAUAGGUAAUGACAGCUACAAAAGAUUGUCCUCUGAAAGUAGAAUCCCAUCCCUACAUGAGCUGCUAGGAAAAAAAAAAAAAAAACCCAAACAAGCAAACAAGCAGGGUGGUGGUAGUACACAUCUUUAAUCCCAGCACUCAGGAGGCAGAUGGAUCUCUGUGAGUUCAAGGCCAGCUUGGUCUACAAAGUGAGUUUCAGGACAGUUAGAGCUGUUACACAGAGAAACCCUGUCUUGAAAGAGAGAGAGAGAGAGAGAGAGAGAGAGAGAGAGAGACUCCGCCAAUGGAAUUGUUUUCAGGAAUUUAUUCACAGAGGGAAAACAAACUCUUAAGUGAAGAUUUGCUUUGAUAGAGCAUUUGCUGGGGAAUUCGGUGUUUGGAAGCUGGCAAAAAUGUGGAUGAGACAAGUGAUCGAUUCUAAGUCAUUACUUAUGAGCUCAACUGCUGGGCCCGUCAGUACUUGUUAUCCCUGAGAGGAUGCACACUUCAGAAACCCUAAUUACUUUCCAACCGCACCCCAGCCGCUUGAAUCCUCCUGCUGUAUUUCCUCAAUAAGACCCAAAAGCUUGACUUUCAUCGAUUGUGACUUUCCUUCAUUGAAGGGUCACCAUUGGAGCUGCUUGGGGAGUGGGCAUGCAUCUCAACUGCCAUCGUCUUCCCACACACCCCGGUGUUCAUACAGACCACCUCUAGGGAAGCUGGGGCCAGAAGCUUCAUCAAGCAGCCCUUGAGCUCUGCUGUGGAGCGGUCAGAUCCGUGUGAGCCAACAGGCUCCUGUCCGCCAGUCCACAUUGUCCCCUCCGCCUGUCACGUCACCCUCCACUGUCCUCUUCACAAUAUCAGAGAGAGUUCUAAGUUAAGGCACAAACCUCACACAGAAUGCAACUCCACGGCCAGAAUUACUCAGCUGUCUGGUCCUGGAACCAAACCUCAGGUCAUUUAGCACCCCAGUGCCAUGGUGUUGCCCAGUGCGUCUCCUGCUAAGUCUCCGUAGGUUUAAUCUGCCCUGAGCAACCCCUGCUAAUGGGAGACCAGGAGCAGUUUGCAAAACCCAUCUGACCAUUGGGAUCACAAAGUCAAUCUGAGGCAUUAAUUUAAAAAAAAAAAAAAGGUUUAUUUGACUUUAAAUUAUGUUCGUGUGUGUGUGUGUGUGUGUGUGUGUGUGUGUGUGUGUGUGUGCGCACCUGCAUGCAGGUGUCCACAGAAG